rnacentral:rRNA from 1 species
UACGUAGGGCGCAAGCGUUGUCCGGAAUUAUUGGGCGUAAAGAGCUCGUAGGCGGCUUGUCACGUCGGGUGUGAAAGCCCGGGGCUUAACCCCGGGUCUGCAUUCGAUACGGGCUAGCUAGAGUGUGGUAGGGGAGAUCGGAAUUCCUGGUGUAGCGGUGAAAUGCGCAGAUAUCAGGAGGAACACCGGUGGCGAAGGCGGAUCUCUGGGCCAUUACUGACGCUGAUGCGCGAAAGCGUGGGGAGCAAACGGG